AAUAAGGUGCCUGAUGAAAAGGGCUAUCUUGAUAGGAUAGAUCAUGUAGUGUUUACCCUUAUUA
rnacentral:tRNA from 1 species